rnacentral:rRNA from 1 species
UGAGGAAUAUUGGUCAAUGGCCGGAAGGCUGAACCAGCCAAGUCGCGUGAGGGAAUAAGGCCCUAUGGGUCGUAAACCUCUUUUGUCAGGGAGCAAUGAUGUCCACGUGUGGACUGACGAGAGUACCUGAAGAAAAAUGCAUCGGCUAACUCCGUGCCAGCAGCCGCGGUAAUACGGAGGAUGCGAGCGUUAUCCGGAUUUAUUGGGUUUAAAGGGUGCGCAGGCGGCGCGCCAAGUCAGCGGUAAAAAGUGCGGUGCUCAACGCCGUAUAGCCGUUGAAAGCUGACAUGCUAGAGUGAGCGAGAAGUAUGCGGAAUGCGUGGUGUAGCGGUGAAAUGCAUAGAUAUCACGCAGAACCCCGAUUGCGAAGGCAGCAUACCGGCGCUCAACUGACGCUCAGGCACGAAAGUGCGGGGAUCAAACAGGAUUAGAUACC